GUGCUCACUUUGACAGCACACAUACAAAAACUGGAACAAUAUAGAGAUUAGCAUGGGCCCUGGGCAAGGAUGACAUUGAAAUUCAUAGUUUUCCAUAUUUUU